GGCCUGUUGGCGCAAUGGUAGCGCGUAGCUCUCCUAUAUUGUUAAAGCUAAGGUUGAGGGUUCGAGUCCCUUGCAGGUCG
rnacentral:tRNA from 1 species